GAUGAACGCUGGCGGCGUGCCUAAUACAUGCAAGUCGAGCGAACAGACGAGGAGCUUGCUCCUCUGACGUUAGCGGCGGACGGGUGAGUAACACGUGGAUAACCUACCUAUAAGACUGGGAUAACUUCGGGAAACCGGAGCUAAUACCGGAUAAUAUAUUGAACCGCAUGGUUCAAUAGUGAAAGACGGUUUUGCUGUCACUUAUAGAUGGAUCCGCGCCGCAUUAGCUAGUUGGUAAGGUAACGGCUUACCAAGGCAACGAUGCGUAGCCGACCUGAGAGGGUGAUCGACAACACUGGAACUGAGACACGGUCCAGACUCCUACGGGAGGCAGCAGUAGGGAAUCUUCCGCAAUGGGCGAAAGCCUGACGGAGCAACGCCGCGUGAGUGAUGAAGGUCUUCGGAUCGUAAAACUCUGUUAUUAGGGAAGAACAAAUGUGUAAGUAACUAUGCACGUCUUGACGGUACCUAAUCAGAAAGCCACGGCUAACUACGUG
rnacentral:rRNA from 1 species